GAGAGGAGAAACUCGUAGUUUCGGAGCGGGGGAAUAAAAUACGUACAAAAGUGUAAGCUGACAUGUAAAAAUAGAGAGAUUUAAGUGAAAAAUGCAAGUUUCCUUCUUCUCUCCUCUUCUUUUCUUUUUCUUAUUCUCCUUUUUAGCGCUCGUGAUUCGAAAACUCCCAAGCCACAUACUUCUGUGGGACCCAGACGCAGGAUGAGAAGGAGACAAUUUUGGGGAAACAAGUGCGGGACGCGUGUAACGAGGUUCAUUUUCUCUUGUGUGUGUCUCACUCGCUCUGCUGCCAAUCUCACGCCCCAAUUAUUUUCACCAAAUCACCAACCAUGGCGACGUUCGAUGGAGGAGCUUAUCGCGUAGAAAAUUACUCUGCGGUUACGACGGCUUCUCCCCCUAUGGCGGUUUCUGGAACGAGGUAAUGACGGGACGACGCGGAACAAACGGCGACUGUUGCUUGGCCGGGAAGCAAGAGGAAAAGAGGCGAAGAAAGGACGAUAAUAAGAGGAAGAGCAGUAGAAAGGAAGCGAUCAUGUACCUGCGAACAGAGCGAGACGAGAGGAAGGAGGCAAUCUGCUGCCGAUCCAGUGACGGCGAUGGGGCAACGGGCGAGUGGAAUGUGGUGACGAGAGGAGAGGAAGGGCAGCGGUGGCUUUGGGGUGCAAUGAAGCUUGCGUGGACGGCUUCGCUGAGGUUGGAAACCCUCGGCGUGAGAUAUGGGCGGAGCCCCUCUUUUGUGUAUCUUUCUCCGACGACGCAAUGAGAAGAGGUCUCUUCUACCAGAUGAUUCGGUACCCGCCGACCCCCGUACGUUAUCCUGACUCAGUAGGUCAUUGGGUCCCGCGGGGGGCGAUGCGUGUGAUUCUAGCGAACGGUGUGAAACGGUGUGAAAGGUUUUCGCGGUGGUUUCGAGUUUGGCAAUCGAGGAGCUUUGUCGUCAGGCGAUUGAAGGGUACGCGUCUCACCUACCCGCGCUACUAGUCGACCUUGGUAAGUGGAUUCCACGGCUUCCUCGUGGCUACCAGGCACGCGAAUGGGUCGGAAACGGUGAGUUGUUAAUUUGGACUUGGUAAUGGCGUCGUUUCAGUAUCUUACGGCUGCUUGUGCUUUUCUGAAUCCGACCCGCGAGAGGCUACCGUUGAUGGACGAGCGGACGAGUCCCACGUGGUGACUGCAGCACUACUCUCGAGGUGGGCCGUGGAAAAAUUAUCUCACACGCGCCAUGCACGUGCCGGGUGGCAAUCAGUGAACCCGUAUGUGGGGCCAAAGACCGCAGUCUUUCGGGUGUCGUCAAAUCGCCCCACGUAUAAAUCUCUUCCCCUAUGAGAGACAGACACAUGGGCCGAGGGGCCUGAUGGAGCCAUGUCAUGUAAAAUAUUCUCACGCGUUGGGGAGAAUAUUAUAUAUGUGGUCCAUCAUGUUGGAUGAUUGAGUUACAUUUAUGGGAUAAAUUGAUGAAAUAGUUGGUGUCAUCCUUUA